AGAGUUUGAUCCUGGCUCAGAAUGAACGCUGGCGGCGUGCUUAACACAUGCAAGUCGAACGCGAAAGCCCCUUCGGGGGCAAGUAGAGUGGCGAACGGGUGCGUAACACGUGAGAAUCUGCCUCUUAGUGGAGGAUACCUUCGAGAAAUCGAAGUUAAUACUGCAUACGUCCCUUCGGGGAGAAAGGUGGCCUCUUGCUACCGCUAAGAGAUGAGCUCGCGGGCUAUUAGCUUGUUGGUGAGGUAAUGGCUCACCAAGGCUGUGAUGGCUAGCCGACCUGAGAGGGUGAUCGGCCACACUGGAACUGAGAUACGGUCCAGACUCCUACGGGAGGCAGCAGUGGGGAAUAUUGGACAAUGGGCGAAAGCCUGAUCCAGCGACGCCGCGUGGAGAAUGAAGGUCUUCGGAUUGUAAACUCCUGUUAAGUGGGAAGAAAAGCGUACGGUUAAUACCCGUACGUGUUGACGGUACCACUAAAGAAAGCUCCGGCUAACUUCGUGCCAGCAGCCGCGGUAAUACGAAGGGAGCGAGCGUUAUUCGGAAUCACUGGGCGUAAAGGGCGUGUAGGCGGUUGAUUAAGUCAGUUGUUAAAUCCCUCGGCUUAACCGAGGAUAUGCAAUUGAAACUGAUCGACUAGAGCACAGAAGAGAGGAGUGGAAUUAUCGGAGUAGCGGUAAAAUGCGUAGAUCUCGAUAGGAACAUCGAUUGCGAAGGCAGCUUCUUGGUCUGUUGCUGACGCUCAAGCGCGAAAGCGUGGGUAGCAAACAGGAUUAGAUACCCUGGUAGUCCACGCUGUAAACGAUGAUCACUAGGUGUGGGUUCUGCUUUGCGGGAUCCGUGUCGUAGCUAACGCGUUAAGUGAUCCGCCUGGGAACUACGGUCGCAAGAUUAAAACUCAAAGGAAUCGACGGGGGUCCGCACAAGCGGUGGAACAUGUGGUUCAAUUCGACACUACGCGAGAAACCUUACCUGGGCUUGACAUGUUUCUGAUCGCUGUAGAAAUACAGUUUUCCAAGGUUUCCUUGGACAGAUACACAGGUGCUGCAUGGCUGUCGUCAGCUCGUGUCGUGAGAUGUUGGGUUAAGUCCUCUAACGAGCGCAACCCUUGCCGCCAGUUGCAACUUCUUCGGAAGGCACUCUGGUGGGACUGCCCCGGAAACGGGGAGGAAGGUGGGGAUGACGUCAAGUCCUCAUGGCCCUUAUGUCUAGGGCAACACACGUGUUACAAUGGUUAGAGUACAAUGGGAUGCAAACUUGCGAGAGUGAGCAAAUCCCUUAAAACUCGCCUAAGUUCGGAUUGGAGUCUGCAACUCGACUCCAUGAAGUUGAAAUCGCUAGUAAUCGCGUAUCAGAACGACGCGGUGAAUACGUUCUCGGACCUUGUACACACCGCCCGUCACAUCACGAAAAUCGUUUGAACCCGAAGUCAUCUUAGCCAACCGUAAGGGGGCGGGUGCCUAAGGUUUAGGGGGUAAUUGGGGUGAAGUCGUAACAAGGUA
rnacentral:rRNA from 1 species